rnacentral:rRNA from 1 species
CAGUAGCCGCGGGAAUACGUAGGGUGCAAGCGUUAAUCGGAAUUACUGGGCGUAAAGCGUGCGCAGGCGGUUUGUUAAGACAGAUGUGAAAUCCCCGGGCUCAACCUGGGAACUGCAUUUGUGACUGGCAAGCUAGAGUCUGGCAGAGGGGGGUGGAAUUCCGCGUGUAGCAGUGAAAUGCGUAGAUAUGCGGAGGAACACCGAUGGCGAAGGCAGCCCCCUGGGCCAACACUGACGCUCAUGCACGAAAGCGUGGGGAGCAAACAGGAUUAGAUACCCCUGUAGUCCCUGUCUCUUAUAC